AUUUAUUAUAAAUCAAAGUUUUAAUACAUAAAAUGUACAACUUUACAAAUUUAAGAAAUAGUAAUGGAAAAAUAGUGUUUAAAAUAUGAUUUUAUGUUUUUAAUGAGAUUAAAGAAAGAGAAACUUGAGUAGUCAAGUAUUGGACCCAAAUGUCAAAUAAUUUUAAUUGGGGAUUUUUAUAAAAUUAAGAAAGUUUGGCUAAAGGGCUUAUUUGAAAAGAAUUUUAGUAUUUUGGGUCCAAGUGUAAUUUUUAAAAAUAAAUAAAUAAAAAAUAAAAUAAAAUAAAAUAAAAGGCUUCAGCCUUUCAUUUUACCCGAGCCCCUCUCUCUCUCUCCUCAGAAACCCUCUCUCUCUCUCUCCUCAGAAACUCUCUCUCUCUCUCUCUCUCUCUCUCUCUCCUCUGCGUAUUACUGUUGCCGACGACGCAGGAGUACUUUCCGGCCACCAUUUUUAGCCACGCGCCGGACCGUUGGAUUCAGAGGCCUCCGAACUAUCGACCAACGCGGGAAUCUAGAGCUCACUCGCCGAUUAAACGCCUCAACCACUCGAUUUAAGUUCGGCCACCCCGCGACUUCAAAGUUGCGAUUCGGCCACCUCGGGCAUCCGUUUGCCGAUCCGUCACCACCAUCGUGCUCCUCGUGUUGUGGGCUUCAAAACCCAAUAACUUGUUCCUACAUCUACCAUAGUUGGGUGGUGGGCCCACCACGAGCCACCGCGAUCCACCGUAGAUCGACGGUCGAAACUUAGUGUUCGAGGUUCCGAAGUACGUUUUGAGUCUCAGAAAAUCAUCGUUUGACUUAUUGUGGAACCCGAUCAUUUUGGAUUUGUAUGGAUUUGAUUGAUUGACUCUUGGUGAGGAAUUUUAAAAUAAGCUAAGGACCUAAGGUGUGGCUUUAGCUGUUGAGCAACUUGUGGAGCACGGACUCAGUAGCAAUGCAAUAAUGGUUUUAGAGUUUUCAUAUGGCUGCCUUAAAUUUAAAGUAUUCAUACGUGUAAUAAUUUCUUCUAAUAAGUUUAUAUAAAAGUUUUAAAUUUUUCUGUA